GCGAGAGUGGCGGAAUUUGGCAGACGCACUGGAUUUAGGAUCCAGCGGGCAACCGUGGGGGUUCGAUUCCCCCCUCUCGCACCA
rnacentral:tRNA from 2 species